rnacentral:rRNA from 1 species
CCCCUACGGGGGGCAGCAGUGAGGAAUAUUGGUCAAUGGCUGCAGGGCUGAACCAGCCAAGUCGCGUGAGGGAUGACGGUCCUAUGGAUUGUAAACCUCUUUUGUCAGGGAGCAAAGGGCGCCACGUGUGGCGUUUUGCGAGUACCUGAAGAAAAAGCAUCGGCUAACUCCGUGCCAGCAGCCGCGGUAAUACGGAGGAUGCGAGCGUUAUCCGGAUUUAUUGGGUUUAAAGGGUGCGUAGGCGGUCCGUUAAGUCAGCGGUAAAAUCGCGGGGCUCAACCUCGCUCCGCCGUUGAAACUGGCGU